UACGGAGGGUGCAAGCGUUAUCCGGAUUCACUGGGUUUAAAGGGUGCGUAGGUGGCUUUGUAAGUCAGUGGUGAAAUCUUAGAGCUUAACUCUAAAACUGCCGUUGAUACUGCUUAGCUUGAAUCAAGUAGAGGUGGAUGGAAUAAUACAUGUAGCGGUGAAAUGCUUAGAUAUGUAUUAGAACACCGAUUGCGAAGGCAGUUCACUAUGCUUGUAUUGACACUGAGGCACGAAAGCGUGGGGAUCAAACAGG
rnacentral:rRNA from 1 species